rnacentral:rRNA from 1 species
CCUACGGGGGGCAGCAGUGGGGGAUAUUGCACAAUGGGGGAAACCCUGAUGCAGCGACGCCGCGUGUGGGAAGACGGUCCUCUGGAUUGUAAACCACUGUCCCCAGGGACGAAGAUGACGGUACCUGGGGAGGACGCUCCGGCUAACUACGUGCCAGCAGCCGCGGUAAUACGUAGGGAGCGAGCGUUGUCCGGAAUUACUGGGUGUAACGGGAGCGUAGGCGGGACUGCAAGUUGGGUGUCAAAUCUACCGGCUCAACCGGUAGCCGCACUCAAAACUGCAGUUCUUGAGUGAAGUAGAGGCAGGCGGAAUUCCUAGUGUAGCGGUGAAAUGCGUAGAUAUUAGGAGGAACACCAGUGGCGAAGGCGGCCUGCUGGGCUUUGACUGACGCUGAGGCUCGAAAGUGUGGGGAGCAAACAGGAUUAGAUACCCUAGUAGUC